rnacentral:lncRNA from 1 species
AUUGGUAGAAGACGCCUCGCCGAUUCGGCAGCUCUUCGGUGAUGUCAGCGGGCGGGUACCAGAAGAAGCGGAGGAAGCCUUGGCGCCGGCCGCGUAUAUCGAGUCGAUGAGGAUCCCGGUUUUCAGGGCCCUGCGUCACAUGGCCGAUCGCGCCAAGUUGGCCAAGACUCGUGAAGAAGAAGAUACAUACAAGCGUCAGGCCCAAGAGGUGCACC